CUGGCUCAGGACGAACGCUGGCGGCGUGCCUAAUACAUGCAAGUAGAACGCUGAGGACUGGUGCUUGCACUGGUCUAAGGAGUUGCGAACGGGUGAGUAACGCGUAGGUAACCUACCUCAUAGCGGGGGAUAACUAUUGGAAACGAUAGCUAAUACCGCAUGACAAUAUGGUACACAUGUACCCUAUUUAAAAGGGGCAAAUGCUUCACUAUGAGAUGGACCUGCGUUGUAUUAGCUAGUUGGUAAGGUAACGGCUUACCAAGGCGACGAUACAUAGCCGACCUGAGAGGGUGAUCGGCCACACUGGGACUGAGACACGGCCCAGACUCCUACGGGAGGCAGCAGUAGGGAAUCUUCGGCAAUGGGGGGAACCCUGACCGAGCAACGCCGCGUGAGUGAAGAAGGUUUUCGGAUCGUAAAGCUCUGUUGUUAGAGAAGAACGGUAAUGGGAGUGGAAAAUCCAUUACGUGACGGUAACUAACCAGAAAG
rnacentral:rRNA from 1 species